rnacentral:precursor_RNA from 11 species
AGUUUCGUUUUAUUAUGAUUUUCUGAUCUGAGCGGGUCCGUUUCUAGUGUCAUGUGCUGUAUUCGAAUAUCAUGACUAGAGGCAGACUCGUUUAGGUCUGGGAUCGUUGUCUUCAGUUUGCUUA